rnacentral:rRNA from 1 species
AUGCUCCGCCGCCUCCCGCGCGCCGGAGCGCAGGUGUUGGCCGCCCUCUGGCCAAGCGAGGCGAUUCCCCGCACCCCGAGUCGGACUGCCGACUGGCUGGAGGUUGCGGUUGGCCGCUUCGAGGCCUGGAAGGCGUCGGCGGCCUGGCUUGGAGCUGGACGGGCGCUGGAGUUCGUCCGAGCUUGCUAUUCGGGGCUGAACCUGGACCAGCUGCGCACCUGGCGGCUGGAGGCCGACGAAGAGCUAGCGGAGGUGCGGCUGGCUAUCGCUCAGCGCGCAUCGAUAAUCACCGAGUGUACUGACAUCAGCGUCUUCGCUCCCGAGAUUAAUGAUGACGGCGUUGCCCAGCCGGAGGAGUGGUUCGGGCUGGACCCGCCGGCGGGUGAAGACUCGGCAGAAGAGAUCGCCUCCAGCGACGAAGGCGAAGACGACGAAGGAGAGGAAAGCGAAGACGUCGAGCCGGCUGGUGGAACAGCCAACCAGCCUCAGCCUGACCGUGCCUCCAGCAACGAGGCGCGCGCAAGCGCGCCUUCUGCGGGAGGCAGUGAUCAUGCCGAGGUUCGCCAGCCGGCCACUCCUCCAGCCGGCACUGCCGUCUCCACCGACCUGCCCGCUCGUCAGUUGCUCCACCGGCUUAAUCUGUCGUCCUUGUUUUUCCUGCUUGUUGCCUUCUGA